CCUAGGCGUGCAGAGCACAGGUGCAGCCUUCCUACCUAAACCCCUCUAUGAAAGAGUUAAGGAAUUCCAGCUUCUCCUCAUACUCUGAUAGUCUAAUGGGAUGUGUACCUUCAGGACACUCUUUGACUGAGAGCAGAGAGGAGGAGUUGAGAUUGAUAAGGGACUGUCCAUGGAGAUGCAAAAUGAUAUUUUCUCAGGUACCAAAAGUCCAGAGUAUUCCAGAGCAUCCAGAUGAAGACAUGAUGUGUCAAGGAGGAGUCAGAUGUGCCUCCUCAUCAAAGCUCAGAGAUCUCACUAAUACAACCCUGUUUGACACGGGACCAACGGAGAGAAGAUGAAUGUUGCUUGACAGUUUGCUGCAUUUUGUAAUACAUUUCUUUGAAAUGUUA